AUGAACGCUAGCUACAGGCUUAACACAUGCAAGUCGAGGGGCAGCAUGGUCUUAGCUUGCUAAGGCCGAUGGCGACCGGCGCACGGGUGAGUAACACGUAUCCAACCUGCCGUCUACUCUUGGACAGCCUUCUGAAAGGAAGAUUAAUACAAGAUGGCAUCAUGAGUCCACAUGUUCACAUGAUUAAAGGUAUUCCGGUAGACGAUGGGGAUGCGUUCCAUUAGAUAGUAGGCGGGGUAACGGCCCACCUAGUCUUCGAUGGAUAGGGGUUCUGAGAGGAAGGUCCCCCACAUUGGAACUGAGACACGGUCCAAACUCCUACGGGAGGCAGCAGUGAGGAAUAUUGGUCAAUGGGCGAGAGCCUGAACCAGCCAAGUAGCGUGAAGGAUGACUGCCCUAUGGGUUGUAAACUUCUUUUGUAAAGGAAUAAAGUCGGGUAUGGAUACCCGUUUGCAUGUACUUUAUGAAUAAGGAUCGGCUAACUCCGUGCCAGCAGCCGCGGUAAUACGGAGGAUCCGAGCGUUAUCCGGAUUUAUUGGGUUUAAAGGGAGCGUAGAUGGAUGUUUAAGUCAGUUGUGAAAGUUUGCGGCUCAACCGUAAAAUUGCAGUUGAUACUGGAUAUCUUGAGUGCAGUUGAGGCAGGCGGAAUUCGUGGUGUAGCGGUGAAAUGCUUAGAUAUCACGAAGAACUCCGAUUGCGAAGGCAGCCUGCUAAGCUGCAACUGACAUUGAGGCUCGAAAGUGUGGGUAUCAAACAGGAUUAGAUACCCUGGUAGUCCACACGGUAAACGAUGAAUACUCGCUGUUUGCGAUAUACGGCAAGCGGCCAAGCGAAAGCGUUAAGUAUUCCACCUGGGGAGUACGCCGGCAACGGUGAAACUCAAAGGAAUUGACGGGGGCCCGCACAAGCGGAGGAACAUGUGGUUUAAUUCGAUGAUACGCGAGGAACCUUACCCGGGCUUGAAAGUUAGUGACGAUUCUGGAAACAGGAUUUCCCUUCGGGGCACGAAACUAGGUGCUGCAUGGUUGUCGUCAGCUCGUGCCGUGAGGUGUCGGCUUAAGUGCCAUAACGAGCGCAACCCUUGUUGUCAGUUACUAACAGGUUUCGCUGAGGACUCUGACAAGACUGCCAUCGUAAGAUGUGAGGAAGGUGGGGAUGACGUCAAAUCAGCACGGCCCUUACGUCCGGGGCUACACACGUGUUACAAUGGGGGGUACAGAGGGCCGCUACCACGCGAGUGGAUGCCAAUCCCAAAAACCUCUCUCAGUUCGGACUGGAGUCUGCAACCCGACUCCACGAAGCUGGAUUCGCUAGUAAUCGCGCAUCAGCCACGGCGCGGUGAAUACGUUCCCGGGCCUUGUACACACCGCCCGUCAAGCCAUGGGAGCCGGGGGUACCUGAAGUGCGUAACCGCGAGGAGCGCCCUAGGGUAAAACUGGUGACUGGGGCU
rnacentral:rRNA from 1 species